CAAUUAUGCUUGAGUCUAAAUUUUCUUUACUUUCGUUUUACUUACAAAUACUAUAUAUGAAUAUUUGUUACACAUUAUAAUCGAAUGCUAAAAAUAUGCAAAAUUCUUGUGUAAGUAAAAUGAUACCUGUUAAAAAGAAAAAUUAGAAACAACAUUUGGGGUAUACAAUACACCUGACCUGUUUGGUUAUCAGGUUAUCUGGUAAUGUAGUUAUAUUUUAUAUAAAUAUAUUUUAUAUAUUUAGUUUACAACAAAACACGACAUCUAGUGAAUGAUAAUUUUUAACUAAAUAACUUGAUAACCAGACAGGUGUGAUUACACCAAUUGUUUCGAAAUUACACUUUCAGUACGAGUUAAUAUUAAAAAUUCUUCAAACUCUCAAAAUUUAAGAAGUGAGCAUGUGUAUGUAUGCGUAAUUAAUAUGAAAAUACAUAAAUAAUAAGUUUAUUUGUUAUACUAUAUAAAUCUAUAUACAUGCGUACAUACAUAUGUAUCUUAUAUGACUAACACUCAUAAAUAUAGAAUAUUGGUUAACAUCCACUCCAUCCUUAGAGUAACAGUAACUCAUCUUAUGCUUCUGUGCUAAGUUAGAUUGAAACUCGCCAUGAUUAUGCGUAUGUAUGUAUGUAUGUAGUAUAUGUAAGGCUGAUUAUUUAGUUGGAUUUUGCAGGUCCAUUUAGUUAUGGGGGCUAGUAGUAUGGCAUGCCUUACAAUAUGAAAAGAUAUAUAAGUAUAUAUAUUUAUACAUAUAUGUACAUAUGGGUAUCACAGUUUCUAUAUGAAUACUUCCAGUAAAAUAACCUAAAUUUAAUGAAUUGUUUUUACGAUAAGUAUUUUGAGAUGGAGUUUAAGUGUACCUAAUAAUUUCGAUGCUUGAUUGCAGAACUAAUACUAAUACAUAUGUAUGUCUGUGUAUCAAGACACAAUUGUCUUAUAAACUAGAAAUGCAAUUAGUUUUUUGGUAUAUAGUUAGAAAAGUCGCAUAUCCUAGUACAUACGUUGACGGUAUUUGAAAUUCGUGUUACCGCACUGUACUCUUAUUUCCACAGAUAUGCAUUGCCGGUAGCUGCCAGAGCUUAUUACAAUUUAUUCGUAUGAAUUGUAGUUUGCCUAUACAUAGUUGUAUAUGUAUAUAGGGUUCAUACAUAUGUAUGUGC